GCCCCCUGUAGAAUUUUGAAUUUAGCAGCGAUCGGAUGCGUUUAUUAUCGGAGCUCUCUAGCGAGGAAAAUAACAAUACUUAAUAAAACAGUGCUUUUCAGCGCGACAACGUAUCAGUAAUUAUAAGUAACUUACGAUAAGUAAUUGUAUGAUAGUAGUUUUAAAAUAUAAAUUUCAUUUUAUUGUAAGGUUAAUUUUUAAAUCGCACUUAUAGUAAAUAAUUAGUAUAAGUACAUACGGUUAGAUAAGAUUAACCAUAAUUUUUGUAUUGGAAUUUUCUAUUAAGAUCUUGGUUAAAAUUUAGAGUUAGAUCAAUU